rnacentral:rRNA from 1 species
GGAGUGCUUGCACUCUGUGAAACAAGAUACAGGCUAGCGGCGGACGGGUGAGUAACACGUGGGUAACCUGCCCAAGAGAUCGGGAUAACACCUGGAAACAGAUGCUAAUACCGGAUAACAACAGAUGAUGCCUAUCAACUGUUUAAAAGAUGGUUCUGCUAUCACUCUUGGAUGGACCUGCGGUGCAUUAGCUAGUUGGUAGGGUAACGGCCUACCAAGGCGAUGAUGCAUAGCCGAGUUGAGAGACUGAUCGGCCACAUUGGGACUGAGACACGGCCCAAACUCCUACGGGAGGCAGCAGUAGGGAAUCUUCCACAAUGGACGCAAGUCUGAUGGAGCAACGCCGCGUGAGUGAAGAAGGGCUUCGGCUCGUAAAGCUCUGUUGUUGGUGAAGAAGGACAGGGGUAGUAACUGACCUUUGUUUGACGGUAAUCAAUUAGAAAGUCACGGCUGACUACGUGCCAGCAGCCGCGGUAAUACGUAGGUGGCAAGCGUUGUCCGGAUUUAUUGGGCGUAAAGCGAGUGCAGGCGGCUCGAUAAGUCUGAUGUGAAAGCCUUCGGCUCAACCGGAGAAUUGCAUCAGAAACUGUCGAGCUUGAGUACAGAAGAGGAGAGUGGAACUCCAUGUGUAGCGGUG